GACAAAGUCUCACACACUGGGUAAUGGUCACCAAUGGAAUCAGCCACAAGUUUUGUGCUCUUUUUUUCAGGGAUCAGAAAAUUAGUAAUUGCAAACCAUGGAUGAAAUUUAUAAGAUCGCUUCCACAGAAAGGAUCCAGGUGUUGGAAAAAGAACUGGCUACACAAUUGACUGAACUGAAGUCUGAGAUAGAAGAACAAUGGACUCUCCAGGGGUCAGCUCAUCAAACUUACAGCUCUGUUCGAAUGCCGAAGGACAUCUCUUACUUUAGAAGAGAAAGGGAACUGGCCCUAAAGAAAACUUUACAGGUGGCUGAGUCAAAGUCCCUUGUUAUUCAAUCAGAUGUCAUGCAGAGGGAGCUAGAGAGCUGCCUAAGGAGAGAGUACACUCCUGAAAAUUUACCUUUGCUUCUGUUGCAGCAUUAUACAGAGAGAAUUACCCAGCUGGCCCAGAGUAAAUAUUUACACAUGCUUAGGUGGAAGAGAUUUUGCCAUCACAGUAAGAUCAUGGAGCAACUUUAUCCUUUUUACAAGAAACAAGUUGUCUACAUUAUGCAGGAAUACAAUGAUGCUCUUCAGAGAGCUGAUCGAUUGUCUGUUGCACGAGAAAACUUCCUUAUGGGAAAAAAGAACACUCCUAACUUAGUGACACAGGAAGACCUGACUAUUUACACAAAUUGGUUAGUGUGUCACCUACACUCACUCAAGAUUAUUCACCACUAUGUGCAGGUACGUGAAACAGUUACAUGGCGAUGCAUUGC
ensembl:lncRNA